rnacentral:lncRNA from 1 species
CGGCUUUCGAUAAUCUCGCAUACAGAGAAGACUCUGACUCGGCGCAUUGAGACAGUUACUGUGUGGCUGUUAACUUCUACUCGCUCUAGCUGAGACACUGACCCUGUUUUUUACUGAUCAUCAUUGCCGAGCGUGACAUAAGCUCCCACCAUGUUCAUCAAUGGAGUGUUUGUAAUUUACCUUUCGUGCUGGUCACUUGCCAAAGCUAUGAUAUUUUUUAAUAACGUCCAAGUAAUUCCAAUUAAUGACGUCACCACUUACGGAGAUUACUGCGAUCUGUUUGGAAGGAACUUCACAGGAACAAUAAGACUAGAAAAGAAAUGUGAGAUAUGGACAUGUUUUGCUAAAAUCAAAUCAGUGGUGGCGAUCAGGUGUGCCGCACUUCCGCAGAACUGUCAUUCUCUUGGCUAUUACUGGGAUCCCUUGCCAAAGUGCUGCAACAUCAUGUGUGAUCCAAAUAAAUUCAUGUGUCAAACCGGUGACAACAGGAUGCUGUCGAACGGCCAGAUAUUGGACUCAACAAAACCAUGCGUGCGGUACAUUUGCA